GGUGCGUGAGUACUCAUCAACCUGAACAAGAAACCAAAUGAGAUAAGAGAUGCAAUAACAUGUAGAAAUGCAAAGCAUAUUGUAUUGGAAAUGGUGCAUGUGCAACUUUGCAAUGCCAUAUGGUGUACAGUAACUUGCAAAUAGAGUAAAAAAAAUCCAUUAGAAAAAAUGAUGACAACAAUAAAGAUAACCAACAAAUAUGAUCUCCAUGCAGCUGGAUAACUUGAUCAGUUGCUUCCAAUACCACAACUGAAUCAAGUUUCCGUGUAUAAGCACAGGACCGCAUCAAAGGUCUCAUGCUUUUGCUAAAAGUUUAAAAUCAGGGUAGUGAUCAAUGUGGUUGUGAUAUCUAUCUGCAAAAUCGUUUAAUAACUCACAGAACCUCCACAGGUUCACCAUUCAUGGGCAUCCAGCACACACGUAUAUCAUAACUACAAUAUGAUCAAAACAUUCAUAAGCCUUUCACAUACACUUCCCACUUUGUUGCAGAACAAAAGAUUUCAACAGCUCAUCCAUUGAGAAAAAAAAUUCUAUCCUUAGGAAGCCAAAACAAAUUAAAGACAUGACUAGAGUCUAGAAGACAAAAGCUAGUGUUGAAAUUUACAUCUCUUGAUGUGUACUCUAUCAUAAAUAGAAAUCAAAUCCUACUGACCUUAAUAGCUCCAGUACUAUCA
rnacentral:misc_RNA from 1 species